CACCGGAGGUGUCGUCAGUGAUAUCCGAACAGCUUAGCAACUCGUCCUCUAGCGGCAGUGACAGCGACAGUGAUUCGGCAUCGUCCGGCAGUGAUUCAGACAUGGAGACCGUGCCGGCGGGGGCUCUGUUUCCUGAAACCCAGCGACCACAAUCAUCCGGUUCGCACAUGACCACAGCAAGUCAUUCGAUCCCAGUCGCAAGUCAUGAGAACGAGAAGGGCUACAGCCAACUCAGCGAAGACCUUCAACUUAGCGAAUCCGGGAGUGACAGCGACAGCGACUGAUGCCAUCGGGACUGUUGUAUGGACGUGACGGCCAUGACGAUGGAAGACUUGAUUGUCCAUGAAGCGUGAAUGCGCAAGCAAGCGGGCAGAGAGAGUGGAGACAGUGAGUGAGCAGAGGGAGUGGAGACAGUGAGUGAGCAGAGGGAGUGGAGACAGUGAGU